GUGGGGAAUCUUAGACAAUGGGGGAAACCCUGAUCUAGCCAUGCCGCGUGAGCGAUGAAGGCCUUAGGGUUGUAAAGCUCUUUCAGUGGGGACGAUAAUGACGGUACCCACAGAAGAAGCCCCGGCUAACUUCGUGCCAGCAGCCGCGGUAAUACGAAGGGGGCUAGCGUUGUUCGGAUUUACUGGGCGUAAAGCGCACGUAGGCGGAUCGUUUAGUCGGGGGUGAAAUCCUGGAGCUCAACUCCAGAACUGCCUUCGAUACUGGCGAUCUUGAGUCCGGAAGAGGUGAGUGGAACUCCUAGUGUAGAGGUGGAAUUCGUAGAUAUUAGGAAGAACACCAGUGGCGAAGGCGGCUCACUGGUCCGGUACUGACGCUGAGGUGCGAAAGCGUGGGGAGCAAACAGGAUUAGAUACCCUUGUAGUCC
rnacentral:rRNA from 1 species